rnacentral:rRNA from 1 species
AUGAACGCUGGCGGCGUGCCUAAUCCAUGCAAGUCGAGCGCACAGACGAGGAGCUUGCUCCUCUGACGUUAGCGGCGGACGGGUGAGUAACACGUGGAUAACCUACCUAUAAGACUGGGAUAACUUCGGGAAACCGGAGCUAAUACCGGAUAAUAUAUUGAACCGCAUGGUUCAAUAGUGAAAGACGGUUUUGCUGUCACUUAUAGAUGGAUCCGCGCCGCAUUAGCUAGUUGGUAAGGUAACGGCUUACCAAGGCGACGAUGCGUAGCCGACCUGAGAGGGUGAUCGGCCACACUGGAACUGAGACACGGUCCAGACUCCUACGGGAGGCAGCAGUAGGGAAUCUUCCGCAAUGGGCGAAAGCCUGACGGAGCAACGCCGCGUGAGUGAUGAAGGUCUUCGGAUCGUAAAACUCUGUUAUUAGGGAAGAACAAAUGUGUAAGUAACUAUGCACGUCUUGACGGUACCUAAUCAGAAAGCCACGGCUAACUACGUG